UUCCAGACUCCUACGGGAGGCAGCAGUGAGGAAUAUUGGUCAAUGGCCGGGAGGCUGAACCAGCCAAGUCGCGUGAGGGAAGACGGCCCUACGGGUUGUAAACCUCUUUUGUCAGGGAGCAAGGUGCAGGUCGGGACCUGCUGUGAGAGUACCUGAAGAAAAAGCAUCGGCUAACUCCGUGCCAGCAGCCGCGGUAAUACGGAGGAUGCGAGCGUCAUCCGGAUUUAUUGGGUUUAAAGGGUGCGUAGGCGGAUUUUUAAGUCAGCGGUAAAAUGUCCGGGCUCAACCCGGGCCGGCCGUUGAAACUGGGGAUCUUGAGUGGGCGAGAAGUAUGCGGAAUGCGUGGUGUAGCGGUGAAAUGCAUAGAUAUCACGCAGAACUCCGAUUGCGAAGGCAGCAUACCGGCGCCCGACUGACGCUGAGGCACGAAAGCGUGGGGAUCGAACAGGAUUAGAUACCCCAGUACG
rnacentral:rRNA from 1 species